CUUUACUAAACUCCACAGCAGUAAAGAAAAACAUAAAGAGUAACAAAUAAAUCACUGAGCAGCAUAGUAUAUAAGGGUCAUGCUGCCUGUACACUUCCUCUUUCUUAAAGCGACAUCCAAGUCCAGAUAGAGCUCGAACAUCCAGAAACUCAACGAAACGGUAACUGCGGUCUCUGGCGAGCGGAACUUGAGGAGACUCCU